AGUCGUUAACUCAGUUGGUUAGAGCACUGCAUCGGAAUCGCAGGGCCGCAGGUUCGAUUCCUGCUAGACUA